rnacentral:rRNA from 1 species
UACGUAGGGUGCAAGCGUUGUCCGGAAUUAUUGGGCGUAAAGAGCUCGUAGGCGGUCUGUCGCGUCGGCUGUGAAAUCCCGAGGCUCAACCUCGGGUCUGCAGUCGAUACGGGGCAAACUAGAGUAUUGCAGGGGAGACUGGAAAUUCCUGGUGUAGCGGUGAAAAUGCGCAGAUAUCAGGGAGGGAACACCCGGUGGGCGAAGGCGGGGUCUCUGGGCAAAU